rnacentral:rRNA from 1 species
AUUCCAGCUCCAAUAGCGUAUAUUAAAGUUGUUGCAGUUAAAAAGCUCGUAGUUGGAUUUCUGGUGGGAGCGUUGGGUCGGCCCUAAGGGCUCGUACUCAAAUGUUUUCCGCCAUCCUUGGAGGGAUGUUGUCUGGCAUUAAGUUGUCGGGCUUCCGAUCUCCAUCGUUUACUGUGAAAAAAUUAGAGUGUUCAAAGCAGGCUUACGCCGUUGGAUACAUUAGCAUGGAAUAAUAAGAUAGGACCCUGGUACUAUUUUGUUGGUUUGCGUACCUAGGUAAUGAUUAAUAGGGACAGUUGGGGGUAUUCGUAUUCCGUUGUCAGAGGUGAAAUUCUUGGAUUUACGGAAGACGAACUACUGCGAAAGCAUUUACCAAGGAUGUUUUCAUUA